AAACCACUAUUUCGGCUAUCCCCAAAUUUGGGCUGUUACAAUGUUGACCCAUAACUUGCUCAUCUUAUCGUCCCAUUUCUCCUUUCUUUCCUUUUCUUCUAUUUCUUUCCCUUUGCCACAUUUUGUUCAUAUCUCUCCCAUUUUUCCCUUUUGACUUUUCUUUCCCCUCAUCUUUUCCUCCCUUUGACUGCCCAUUUCUCUUUCCUUUCCCCCUCUCUUUUUCUUCUUUUCCCUACUUUUUUUGUUUGCACCACCACCCACACCACCGUACAUCAUCAUUUCUUCCUUUUGUUGCCCAUAUCUCCACAUUGUACCAUCGAUUAUCUUCUUUGUCGCCGUCCCUCCUCCCUUACCGCCCCUUUUGCACCACCACCACCCAUCACUGCCACAUCGUCAUCGCACCAUCGUAG
rnacentral:lncRNA from 1 species